rnacentral:rRNA from 1 species
CCUACGGGAGGCAGCAGUGGGGAAUAUUGCACAAUGGGGGAAACCCUGAUGCAGCGACGCCGCGUGAGUGAAGAAGUAAUUCGUUAUGUAAAGCUCUAUCAGCAGGGAAGAAAAUGACGGUACCUGAGUAAGAAGCCCCGGCUAACUACGUGCCAGCAGCCGCGGUCAUAAGUAGGGGGCAAGCGUUAUCCGGAUUUACUGGGGGUAAAGGGGGCGUAGACGGCAGUGCAAGUCUGGAGGGAAAGGCGGGGGCUCAAACCCCGGACUGCUCUGGAAACUGUACGGCUGGAGUGCAGGAGAGGUAAGUGGAAGUCCUAGUGUAGCGGUGAAAUGCGUAGAUAUUAGGAGGAACACCAGUGGCGAAGGCGGCUUACUGGACUGUAACUGACGUUGAGGCUCGAAAGCGAGGGGAGCAAACAGGAUUAGAUACCCUGGUAGUC